UAAACAAGUUCUUAGCAUGUUUGCUGCAAUAUUCUCUAUGAUAUAGAGUGACCAUGAUAUUUGACAAGGUUGCUGCUUACGUAGACAAGUUUUCAGGUAACAAAAAGUCGAUUUUCCAAUGGUUGGUACGCAGAAGCUCAUAGAAAUUCAACGAAACAUUACUGAACACAUUAAGAAAAAUCGAAAAUGCCGAAAUAUAUUUUAUUGUUAGGUAUCCUCAUAUUUCUGGGCCUUUAUGCCUAUGCAGAUGAAGAAGGAUGUAGAGACAAAUGGUGUCAUCCGGUCAUGUACCACAAAUGCUGUGAUGGCUACGGAUGUAACAAUGGACAUUGGUACCAAGGACACUGCUUACCAUACAGGGAAAUCAAAAAGUAGAAAAUCCUGAAAAGUAGAAAAAAAAUUGCAUCAAUUGCAUGAAUAAAUAAAUGUUAUUGCACAAUAAUAACAAUGAAAUAAAUUAACCCAUGAAAAAAUC